CGUCAUGAUGUAGUUGACGGUGUGGCUGAGGCAGAAGGUGUAACUAAAGAUGAUGCAGGCUUCUGCUGCAGAUCAGAAAGGUUGGUCGUUCCCGGGGCUGAUCAGACACUAGAACGUCACGAAAGCGCUGGCCACGAAUUGUCGGAAUCUCAUGCUGUCCCUGAAAAAAUACAAUGUUUAGGUAGAAUAUGUAUGCUGAAGAUUGGAUACACUCAGGAGUAUAAAGAGCACACAAUCAAUGAAAUGACACUUCUAACCCACCAGGAUAUACACCACAAGAAGAACACGGUAAUAACAUCAGGUGAUGGAAACUAACUUAUCACAUUAGGCCAUAGAAGCAGCAGGAUAAAUAAUUGGACAUCCCAACUUGCAAUGAUAAAUCACAUAAAGGGGACAUGAUAGCACUUAGCAGCAUGAUAUCUUGCAGUAAAAAUGCUGCAUGUGAACUGUAAUCAACAUCAGCAGUACUACAGAAUUGAAAGUUCAGACUUGAGUACUAGAGUAUCAGGCAUGCAUAAGAAGAUAGAUUUGUUAAAAGAACCGAUCCAACAGCAGCUAGGGCGAUGUUUUUAACUCUGCAGCUAUCUAGCGCCACUUGAGACUAGUAGGAAAUGAAAAAUGACAAGAAAAAAUAACCAUAGGAAGUUGAAGCUGAUGAAAAAUUCUUUGUCACAAAAGAACAGGGGGAUGUUAGCUUGCUACAGACUGACAUAACAAAAAAACCUGCGUUGAAAAAAUGAACUGACAAGAAGAUAGAGAUAUUGCUACUGGUGGAAAAAUAGACUUUACUGUGGUCUGGUGAACCAUAAAUUGCAUAGGAUAAAGCACAUGGAAAAUAGGCAUUCCAAAUACUAGUCGAGGCUGCCGAGACCUACCUCACGGUGCUGCUUGAGGACACCAACCUCUGCGCCAUCCACGCCAAGCACAUCACCAUCAUGCCCAAGGACAUCCAGCUCGCCCGCCACAUCCGUGGUGAGAGCAUAGGCUGCAAUCCAUGCAUCGCCUGUUAGGUCCUUCUUACCAGUGGAAAUGUGUGUGCUACUAGUGUCUUGGAGAGUUUUUUUUGUAGUUCUUUUUACCGUAUCGUUCUCAUCAGCAAUUGAAAAAUAUGUUGCCUGUCUGGUCUCUGACAUGUGCUUUCUCAUUGCCUGUUUUUUCUCCCUUUUACGUGACACUGUCCUCCAAUCCCAACUUGUGAAAAUCUAGCCUGUCCAACAUCGUUCUGAUUUUUAGCACUCUUACACAUUAUCUCUUUCCUGCAUCCGAACCUGAACGAACAACAUGUCAGUAUGCUCGUCUUCAGUUCCGUGUAUCGACCAAUUGCAUAAUAGUGGCAGUAUGUUCGAUGUUUAGUACGCAGAUUCAGUGUCGUGCAAUAUUCCCACUGUCUGUUUUUCUCACCAAAUGGUUCCUGGCUCGUUAUAUUUCCUACCGGUUUGAGCUAAAUCGCCCUGAUUCUAGAUUAAAGUAUCCCUUGGCCGUGUCAAAUUUCGUAUUCAGUAAUCUAGUUUGCUACCUCUGAACCUGAGUGAACAUAUGUUAAUAUGCUCCCUCAGUUCCGUGCUAUAUAACCGUACCAGUAUGUUUGAUAUCCACUGCACAGAUUCUUGGAAGGGCCUCCUGAUGAUGUACCAAUAUGUUCAUGCUUGUCCUCCUGAUCCUCCCAGCUGGCACUGUGCCUCCAGUUUUUGUUUGGAUGGCUGAUGCAGUUUUGCUCACUGCUGUAUGCUCGAUCAUGGGUCACGGACUAUUUUGUUUCAUGAUUAUAGCAUCCUGAUGGGCGCUGAACUAAGAUAGUUUCAGUUAUGUUUUUGUGCUGCAACAAUGAGCAUGAUCUAGUCCACAGGGAUCUUAUAGGAUUAAAUAUGUUACUCCCUCCGUUCACUUUUAUAAGUCGUUUCAGACAAGUGAAAUUGAGCUGUUUUGCACAAUGUCGGAAACGUCUACAAAGCCUUAUAAAAGUGAACAGAGGGACUACUGUAUUUUACUCCCUCCGUCCGGAAAUACUUGUCAUCAAAAUGGA